CGGAAGUGAUGAAAUAGAGAUAAUUGGAUGUGCCUUUGAAUGGAGCGUGUGUGCUAACUGGGAUUUAAACCAGGUUAGAUUGGGGGUGGGGGGUGGGGAAUGUGUGCAAGUGGUGCAGGUGUGGGAAAGGCUUUGAAUGGGGGCGCUGAUGGUGCAGUGCUGCUUCCGGAGUGCAUCUGAGGCAUGUUGUGAAACCCAGGGGUGCUGCUUACAACACUGCCGAUGAUUAAAGCCCAAAAGAAGCCCACCAAGACAAGCCUGGGCAUCCUACAUCUCUGACAGGUUCACUCAUUAAAGUGUGACCCUGUGAGCUGAUCCAA